UGAGAGAGGGCGCGAGGUUGGGUUGGGUUAGGUUGAGGUUGGGUUAGGUUGGGGUUGGAUUAGGAUUAUAUUUAAUAUAUAAAUAUUAGUAGGUUGAAACUAUAUAUUUAAAAAUAAUUGUCGCUAAAGGUGUAAUAAAAUAAUAGUAAUAGCGGCCGUUUGAUAAUCACCGCUAAAUAAUUGCCACAAAAAGUCCUUUUUGGUGUAGUG
rnacentral:lncRNA from 1 species